rnacentral:rRNA from 1 species
AUGGGGAUCAACGAGGGCAAUACAAUCAUCGACAACCAUGGGAUGAUGACUAUCCAUAUGCCUGCUUACUAUAAUUCUAUCAUCAGGGGCGUAUCUACUAUUAUGGUCUCGUUCAAUAGUUGGAAUGGAACGAAAAUGCACGCCAACCAUUACAUAAUCACAGAUUUUCUCAAGAACAAACUCAAAUUUUGGGGUUUCGUGAUUUCAGACUGGCAAGGCAUUGAUAAGAUUACGACUCCCCCACACUUGAACUAUUCCUAUUCAAUUGAGGCCGGAAUUGGUGCUGGUAUUGACAUGAUCAUGGUUCCUUUUGGCUACACAGAAUUCAUUGAUGAUCUGACAUCCCAAGUUGAGAAAAACAUUAUCCCUAUGAGCAGAAUCGACGAUGCUGUCUACAGGAUUCUUCGGGUCAAGUUUACCAUGGGUCUAUUUGAGAACCCUUAUGCUGAUCGAAGUCUUGUUGGUGAACUCGGGAAGCAUGAACACCGAGAACUCGCUAGGGAAGCCGUCAGGAAAUCAUUGGUGUUGCUGAAAAAUGGAAAAUAUGCAUCCACCCCAUUGUUGCCUCUCCCAAAGAAGGCUGGUAAGAUACUUGUAGCCGGGAGCCACGCCGACAACUUGGGCAACCAGUGUGGAGGAUGGACAAUCGAAUGGCAAGGAGACACCGGCAACGAUAAAACUGUUGGGACGACGAUCCUUUCGGCGAUCAAUUCAACCGUCGACCCUAGCACACGAGUGGUCUUCUCUGUUAACCCAGAUAGCACUGUUGUGGAAAAUGGCAAGUACGAUUAUGCCAUCGUGGUGGUGGGUGAGCCACCCUAUGCCGAGACAUUCGGCGACAACCUGAACUUGACGAUCCCUGCCCCCGGCCCCUCGGUGAAACAGACUGUCUGCAAGAAGAUCAACUGUGUGGUGGUGCUCAUCUCCGGUAGACCGCUGGUGGUGGAACCCUACAUCGGUGCCAUGGAUGCGUUAGUCGCCGCCUGGCUACCCGGCACGGAAGGCCAAGGCAUCGCCGACGUGCUCUUCGGCAACUACGGGUUCUCUGGGAAGCUGGCGAGGACAUGGUUCAAGUCGGUGGACCAGCUGCCAAUGAACGUUGGGGACAAGCACUAUGACCCGUUGUUCCCCUUCGGGUUUGGCCUCACCACAAAGGCAAAAAAGUGA